rnacentral:rRNA from 1 species
GGGGGAACUGAAACAUCUAAGUACCCCGAGGAAAAGAAAUCAACCGAGAUUCCCCCAGUAGCGGCGAGCGAACGGGGAGCAGCCCAGAGUCUGAAUCAGCUUGUGUGUUAGUGGAACGGUCUGGAAAGUCCGACGGUACAGGGUGAUAGUCCCGUACACCAAAAUGCACAGGUUGUGAACUCGAAGAGUAGGGCGGGACACGUGGUAUCCUGUCUGAAUAUGGGGGGACCAUCCUCCAAGGCUAAAUACUCCUGACUGACCGAUAGUGAACCAGUACCGUGAGGGAAAGGCGAAAAGA